rnacentral:lncRNA from 1 species
GAACUGACAUCUGAGUCCCCUCCGCAGUACAACCCUCCUGCCCCUUCCCAAAUGCUGAGCUUUCUGUUCUGCAUCUCAUGUUUUCAUUAGAAAACUGGGCGCAACCAAGUCAACGAGGGAAGGAUAAGAGCGCAGCAGAGCGAGCACAGGGCAAAGAGGGAAUAGGGAGGAGUUGUGGAGGAGAAAAAGAGAUUUUGGGGGGUGUUUGUGUCUUUUCUCUCGCACACGCUUCACUCUUCAACACCAGCUGCUCGCCACGUUUCACCAUGACCCACCCCUCUGCCUCCUCCGUUGGACUCAUCUUCCUUCUGCUUGGCUACUCUGCUGCAGGACCUGAACCUGGGCUGCUACCUCGAGCGGUGCGUUCAAGUGCCUGUCAAGAGCACACAAACCUACACAACCGCCUGGAUGUGGUGGAGAAGAAAGUGGAGGACACAGUUGAGAAGUUGGAGGUUGAGCUUGCUGCUCUUCUGGAUGCCAUUGAAGCCCCAAAGUGGAGCCCACUGUUGGACAAUACAGGCAAGACAGCAGUGGAUAUAAUGGAAGACCCAGGAUGGAGGUCUUAAAGGGGAACUACGCCAACUUUCAAUUAUCAUACAUGUAUUUUCUAUGGAUGACAGUCCAAAAAUAAAAUAACUCUUUCACAAAUAUAA